rnacentral:rRNA from 1 species
GCGCAGCAGGCGAGAAACUUCCACAAUGGACGAAAGUCUGAUGGAGCGACGCCGCGUGAUUGAUGAAGUCCCUCUGGGACGUAAAGAUCUUUUAUGAGGGAAGAAGUUUAUUGACCGGUACCUCAUGAAUAAGAGGCUCCUAAUCUCGUGCCAGCAGGAGCGGUAAUACGAGAGCCUCGAGCGUUAUCCGGAAUUAUUGGGCCUAAAGGGUGCGUAGGUUGUUCUGUUAGUCUUUUGUCAAAGCCCCGAGCUUAACUUGGGAUAUGCGGAAGAAACGGCAGAACUUGAAAGUGCGAGAGGCGUACGGAACGUCAUGGUGUAGGGGUGAAAUCCGUUGAUAUCAUGGGGAACACCAAAUGCGAGGGCAGUACGCUGGCGCAUAUUUGACACUGAAGCACGAAAGCGUGGGUAGCGAAUGGGAUUAGAUACCCCGGUAGU